rnacentral:rRNA from 1 species
GAUGAACGCUGGCGGCGUGCCUAAUACAUGCAAGUCGAGCGAACAGACGAGGAGCUUGCUCCUUCGACGUUAGCGGCGGACGGGUGAGUAACACGUAGGUAACCUACCUAUAAGACUGGGAUAACUUCGGGAAACCGGAGCUAAUACCGGAUAAUAUUUCGAACCGCAUGGUUCGAUAGUGAAAGAUGGCUUUGCUAUCACUUAUAGAUGGACCUGCGCCGUAUUAGCUAGUUGGUAAGGUAACGGCUUACCAAGGCAACGAUACGUAGCCGACCUGAGAGGGUGAUCGGCCACACUGGAACUGAGACACGGUCCAGACUCCUACGGGAGGAAGCAGUAGGGAAUCUUCCGCAAUGGGCGAAAGCCUGACGGAGCAACGCCGCGUGAGUGAUGAUGGUCUUCGGAUCGUAAAACUCUGUUAUUAGGGAAGAACAAACGUGUAAGUAACUGUGCACGUCUUGACGGUACCUAAUCAGAAAGCCACGGCUAACUACGUG